GAUGAAGAACGUAGCGAAAUGCGAUAAGUAAUGUGAAUUGCAGAAUUCAGUGAAUCAUCGAAUCUUUGAACGCACCUUGCGCUCCUUGGUAUUCCGAGGAGCAUGCCUGUUUGAGUGUCAUUAAAUUCUCAACCUCACCAGUUUUGUAACGAGACAGGUGAAGGCUUGGAUGUGGGGGUUUUGCAGGCUGCCUCAGUGCUGGUCUGCUCUCCUGAAAUGCAUUAGCGAGCUCAUAUUGAGCUUCCGUCUAUUGGUGUGAUAAUUAUCUACGCCGUGGAUUGGACUCAUGCUUGCUUCUAACCGUCCGCAAGGACAAUUUCCUUGACCAAUUUGACCUCAAAUCAGGUAGGACUACCCGCUGAACUUAAGCAUAUCAAUAAGCGGAGGA
rnacentral:misc_RNA from 1 species